CUUUAGGAGGGAAAGACCAAAACCAAAGAACCUCAAGGUGACUAUCCUUUAAACUGCUGUCACUGCUGGUAACAUCUAGUUUGCUUAAUUUUCUUUCUCCAAGCAGAAAAAAGCGCUUGAAAUUCUACUCGAUUGGAGGUCGCCCAAUAUUCUACUAUUAUUUCUGGCUCGGAUAGGAUAUCUUAUUGUCAUCUGUUUUAUUCGCAAUAACAGCUUCAACUUCUGACCAUCUAUCACAGAAGAAUCUAUAAACAACCAUUCUGCAUCAAUAUGUAGAUCACAAGUCUCUUCUAAGGUGUAACAGAAAAGAGAAAUGCUGUAUACGAGCACCAUCCACGUCCAACGCAAUUGAUUGUGGAGAAUGAGUUGCCUCAAAAACUUCAAAAUUUGAUUGAGGAAAGACGAGAUGGGCAGAGUUCCGGUGGCCAAGUUUUGGUAAAGCAGAUGGCUACGUCACUGCUUAAAGCACUCCAUAUCAAUACAGUAUUGUGAACUCCUCCCGUAUUAUCUUCAGUGAGUACAUAAAAUAUAUAUGUAUAAUAAGUAUAGUUGGCCAUAGUUCUUGUUAUCUGUAUUUUGUGAGUUUUGUAAUUUGAGGUGCAGGUCUUCUUGUUUGUUUGCAUCUUGUUGUUUGAAAUUAUAUCUUAGUUCAACCUGGAAGAGGGCAUAAAAUUGAAAUGACUUGGUCUCUCCCAGAAGAUCUUCAUGUGUGGAAGGCGGUCAAAAUUUGACUGUUCAAGUGUCCUCCACCCCUAACUUUUUGCAAUUAGUUUUUUCCUCCCAGCUUGAUUUAGCUUUGUAAACUUUUGAUAGUCCUAAUUGUAUUGAAUUUGGAAGACUGUCAUUUGCACUGUGUUUUAAUCAUAUAAGCUGUUUGUUUUGCAACGAGUGCUGUGCUUGUGCACUUAAGACUACUGUGAAUUUUGUGGCAUCAAUAUAGACUCACUAUAUUCAUCUUUU